rnacentral:rRNA from 1 species
UGCAUGCCUGCAGGUCGACGAUUGCCUACGGGAGGCAGCAGUGAGGAAUAUUGCGCAAUGGGGGAAACCCUGACGCAGCGACGCCGCGUGGGCGACGAAGGCCUUCGGGUCGUAAAGCCCUUUUGGCAGGGACGAGUGAGGACGGUACCUGCCGAAUAAGUCUCGGCUAACUACGUGCCAGCAGCCGCGGUAAAACGUAGGAGGCGAGCGUUAUCCGGAUUCACUGGGUGUAAAGCGCGCGUAGGCGGUUGGGUAAGUCGGACGUGAAAGCCCCUGGCUCAACUGGGGGAGGCCGUUCGAUACUGCCCGGCUUGAGGGUGAGAGAGGGAAGUGGAAUUCCCGGUGUAGCGGUGGAAUGCGUAGAGAUCGGGAGGAACACCAGUGGCGAAAGCGGCUUCCUGGCUCACUCCUGACGCUGAGAGCGCGAAAGCGUGGGGAGCAAACGGGAUUAGAUACCCCGGUAGUCCACGCUCUAAACGAUGAGGGCUAGGUGUUGGUGGGAUUUCCCAUCUGUGCCGAAGCAAGCGCGUUAAGCCCUCCGCCUGGGGACUACGAACGCAAGUUUAAAA